GUGAGAUCAGUGGAGACCUUGGGAUAGCCUUUACAUGCUUGAGAUUCAAGGAUAGGAGCCGGAAUGAAGUGGGAAAUAGACACGCUUGUUGACCUGGGACUCGGCGAUGUCCGCCCUCUCCUCCGCCUCAUCCAGCUCGUGCUGCACCUUGCGGAACUUGGACAGCCUCCAGCUCAUUCUCCAGCUCCCGGACCCGGGCCUCCAGCUUCUGCAGCUGCUUCUUGCCGCCCUUGAGGGCGAUCUGCUCUGCCUCGUCCAGACGGUGCUGCAAGUCCUUGAUGGUCUGCUCCAUGUUCUUCUUCAUGCGCUCCAGGUCGUCAUUGGCACGGACAGCAUCAUCCAGCUGGAUUUGAGUGUCCUGAGGAUCAGAAAAAUGAGUGGCCUCAUUGCGGCUGCGUGUCUCCGCAUCCAGGGAGGUCUGCAGGGAGUCCACCAUCCGCAGGUGGUUGCGCUUGGCCUGCUCCAUCUCCUCAUCCUUCUCUGCCAGCUUCCUUUCAAUCUCUGCCUUGAUCUGGUUGAACUCUAGCUGGGCGCGGAGGAUCUUGCCCUCCUCGUGCUCCAGGGAGGCCUGGAAAGGAUAUAGAUUUUGCAGGCAUAUAGUCAGAGACCAGGGUGGAAGCAAGGGUGUGUCUAAAAACCAUGGCACAGAGAGCAUUUGGGGAUGGUAUACAUGACUCAGUAGGAGAUGCAGUGGAAGGAAAUGAGAAAGAGUGUGCACAAGAGAAAUGAAAGCAAGCUGAAGAGAAGGGGAUGCAGACUCCCAGGGGGGCGGAGGGAGUCAGCUUUGAAGACAAAGAGGAAAAUGAAAAGUGUUGCCAAGGAAACAGAGGCAAUGAAGCAGAGAGUAAAGGAACAAAAAAAAAAAAACCACCACACACAGGCAGGCAGAGGUGGAAAGUGGAAUGAGCUGAAAUAGGAGUCUUUCUAAGGUACAGUAAAUAAAAUGUUUGUGUGAAGGAA
rnacentral:lncRNA from 1 species